rnacentral:rRNA from 1 species
UACAGAGGGUGCAAGCAUUGUUCGGAAUUAUUGGGCGUAAAGGGCGUGUAGGUGGUUCGGUAAGUCAGAUGUGAAAUCCCUGGGCUUAACUCAGGAACUGCAUUUGAUACUGCCAGACUAGAGUAAGGUAUAGGAUAGUGGAAUUCCCGGUGUAGAGGUGAAAUUCGUAGAUAUCGGGAGGAACACCAGUGGCGAAAGCGGCUAUCUGGGCCUUUACUGACGCUGAGACGCGAAAGCGUGGGGAGCAAACAGG